AUGCUCUCUCUCUUUCUCCCUCUGCUCUCUCUCUGCUCUAUGCUCUCUCUCUCUUUCUCCCUCUGCUCUCUCUGCUCUCUCUCUCUGCGCUCUCUCUCUGUUCUCUGCUCUCUCUGCUCUCUCUGCUCUCUCUGCUCUGCUGCUCUCUCUCUGCCCUCUGCUCUCUCUCUGCUCUCUUGUCUCUCUGUUUUCUGCUCUCUCUCUGCCUCUGCUCUCUCUGUUCUCUGCUCUCUCUCCCUCUCGUCUCUCUCUCUCUUUCUCCCUUUGCUCUCUCUGCUCUGCUGCUCUCUAUUUUAUCUGCUCUCUCUGCUCUCUGCUCUUCCUCUCUGCUCUCUCUGCUCUCUUUCUCUGCCCUCUCUCUGCCCUCUCUGCUCUCUCACUCUUCUCACUCUCUGCUCGCUCUCUGCUCUCUCUGCUCUCCGCUCUCUCUCUGCUCUCUCAGCCUGCUCUCUGCUCUCUCUCUGCUCUCUCUCUCUGUUCUCUCCUCUCUCACUCUGCUCUCUCUCUCUCCCUCUGCUCUCUCUCCCUCUGCUCUCUCUCUCUCUGCUCUCUCUCUUUUCUCUCUCCCUAUCUGGUCUCUUCUUUCUCCCUCUACUCACUGCUCUCUUCUCUCUCCCUCUGCCCUCUCUAUCUGCUCUCUUGCUUUUCUCUGCUCUCUCUGCUCUCUGCUCUCUCUCUCUGCUCUCUCUCUUUCUGCCCUCAUUAUCUGCUGUCUCUCUCUGCUCUCUCUGUCCUCUGCUCUCUCUCUCCCUCUGCUCUCUCUGUUCUCUGCUCUCUCUGCUCCCUCUGCUCUGUCUGCUCUCUCUCUCUUCUUCCUGUUCUCUGCUCUCUCACUCCCUCUGCUUUCUCUGCUCUCUCUUUGCUCUCUGUUCUCUGCUCUCUCUGCCCUUUGUUCUCUCUGCUCUGCUGCUCUCUCUACCCGCUCGCUCUGCUCUCUCAGCCUGCUCUCUGCUCUCUCACUCUCUACUAUCUCUGCUCUCUCUGCUCUCUUUGAUCUUUCUCUCACUCUCUGCUCUCUCUUUGCUCUCUCAGCCUACUCUCCGCUCUCUCCCUCCCUCCCCCUCUCUCUUUCUCUCUCUCUCUCUAAUGCUCUCUGCCCUCUCUCAGCCUUCUCUCUUCUCUCUGCUCUCGCUCUCUGCUCUCUCAGCCUGCUUUCUGCCUGCUUUCUGCUCUCUCAACUCUCUGCUCUCUUUUCUCUGCUCUCUCUCUGCUCUCUCUCUCUUUCCCUGCUCUCUGCUCUCUCUGUGUGCUCUGCUCUCUUCUCUGCUCUCUCUGCUCUCUCUCUCUCUGCUCUCUCUCUUUCUGCUUUCGUUAUCUGCUGUCUCUCUCUGCCCCCUCUCUCUAUGCUCUCUGCUCUCUUCUCUCUGUUCUCUGCUCUCUCUCUCCCUCUGCUCUGUCUGCUCUCUUCUCUUUGUUCUCUUCUCUCUGUUCUCUGCUCUCUCUCUCCCUCUGCUCUCUCGUCUCUCUGUUUUCUGCUCUCUUUCUGCCUCUGCUCUCUCUGUUCUCUGCUCUCUCUGUUCUCUGCUCUCUCUGUUCUCUGCUCUCUCUCUCUUUCUCCCUUUGCUCUCUCUGCUCUCUGCUAUCUCUCUUCUCUCUGUUCUCUGCUCUCUAUUUUAUCUGCUCUCUCUGCUCUCUGCUCUUCCUCUCUGCUCUCUCUGCUCUCUCUCUCUUUCACUGCCCUCUCUCUGCCCUCUCUGCUCUCUCUCUCUUCUCACUCUCUCUACUCUCUGCUCUCUCUACUCUCUGUUCGCUCUCUGCUCUCUCUGCUCUCCGCUCUCUCUCUGCUCUCUCAGCCUGCUCUCUGCUCUCUCUCUCUGCUAUCUCUCUCCCUCUGCUCUCUCUCUCUGCUCUCUCUCUCUGUUCUCUCCUCUCUCACUCUGCUCUCUCUGCUCUCUCUCUCUGCUCUCUCUCUCUCUCUCUCCCUCUGCUCUCUCUCUCUGCUCUCUUUUCUCUCUCCCUAUCUGGUCUCUUCUCUCUCUCUCUGCUCUCUCGCUUUUCUCUGCUCUCUCUGCUCUCUCUCUGCUCUCUCUCUUUCCGCUCUCAUUAUCUGCUGUCUCUCUCUGCUCCCUCUCUCUCUGCUAUCUGCUCUCUCUCUUCUCUCUGUUCUCUCUGUUCUCUGCUCUCUCUGCCCUUUGUUCUCUCUGCUCUCUGCUCUGCUGCUCUCUCUACCCGCUCUCUCUGCUCUCUCACUCUCUAUUAUCUCUGCUCUAUCUGCUCUCUUUGAUCUCUCUCUCACUCUGCUCUCUCUCUGCUCUCUCAGCCUGCUCUCCGCUCUCUCCCUCCCUCUCCUCUCUCUCUCUCUCUCUCUCUCUCUCUAAUGCUCUCUGCCCUCUCUCAGCCUUCUCUCUUCUCUCUGCCCUGUCUCAGCCUUCUCUCUUCUCUCUGCUCUCUGCUCUCGCUCUCAGCUCUCUCCCUCUGCUCUCUCUCUCUCUAAUGCUCUCUACCCUCUCUCAGCCUUAUCUCUUCUCUCUGCUCUCUCUCUCUCGCUCUCUCUCUCCCCCUCUGCUCUCUCUCUCUCUGCUCUCUCUACCCGCUCUCUCUGCUCUCUCACUCUCUAUUAUCUCUGCUCUCUCUGCUCUCUUUGAUCUCUCUCUCACUCUCUGCUCUCUCUCUGCUCUCUCAGCCUGCUCUCCGCUCUCUCCCUCCCUCUCCUCUCUCUCUCUCUCUCUCUCUCUCUCUCUAAUGCUCUCUGCCCUCUCUCAGCCUUCUCUCUUCUCUCUACCCUCUCUCAGCCUUAUCUCUUCUCUCUGCUCUCUCUCUCGCUCUCUCUCUCCCCCUCUGCUCUCUCUCUCUCUGCUCUCUCUCUUUUCUCUCUCCCUAUCUGGUCUCUUCUCUCUCCCUCUGCUCUCUUCUCUCUCCCUCUGCCCUCUCUAUUUGCUCUCUCUGCUCUCUCGCUUUUCUCUGCUAUCUCUGCUCUCUCUCUUUCUGCUCUCAUUAUCUGCUGUCUCUCUCUGCUCCCUCUCUCUGCUCUCUGUUCUCUCUGCUCUGCUGCUCUCUCUACCCGCUCUCUCUGCUCUCUCACUCUCUAUUAUCUUUGUUCUCUCUGCUCUCUUUGAUCUCUCUCUCUCUCUGCUCUUUCUCUUUGCUCUCUCAGCCUGCUCUCCGCUCCCCCCCCCUCUCUCUCUCUCUCUCUCUCUCUAA
ensembl:lncRNA